GGCAGUUAUUGGAAGCAGCGAAAUUUUCGUGUUUUCUUUUUUUUCAAUCCUGCCUCAAGACAUCGGCUUUUUCUUUCACAUGAGCAUGUUGGAAUAUUAUCACUGUGUGCCUCUUUUCCUCUGUCUAUAAUUUCUUUCAUCUUGUUUCAUGAAAUUCCUGCAUUUACUGUAUGCAGGAUAGUCUCCUCCUCCUGCCUUUGUUUGUACUUUUCCAGUCCUGUUUUAAAUAUUCAAAAUACUUAAUUGCAUAUUUUUCCUGAAGGUCAGUGUCUGAGAGGUGGCGGUUUGAGUGACCACUUUCAGAUUCUGAGACUGUCCUGAGCUCUUCCUGUGUUGCUGUCAUGGUGCCUACACUGCUGAAUAGAAAAUGACGGACAUAAUGAAACUGUAGGGGAUAUAGCUGACAAACAAAUGACAGAAAUAGAUGACCUCCGGUCACAGCUGCAAGUUUCAGUGCUCGAAAAAUAGAAAUUAAAGGUGAGCUGCAAGGAUCAUACUUGGUAAGAUCAUAAGCAAAAUUAUGGUUAGCUAGAAAGAGUUGUUUAAUAGCUAAAUGAAUAUUUAAUGACAGAGUCAAUUUCUAAACAUUGUUUACAAAGCCUGUUUUGUUUUUAGUGAAGGUGCUGGAGUUUUUUGCUUCUAGACAAAAUCCUUAUUCUCUUAUCAUAUAAUCUCUCAAAAAAAAGGCAAAAAGGGUAUUAACAAAGUUCUGGAUAACAGGGGUAUACGUCUUCAUUCUUUUCAAUAGGAAGAGACAAAAAAGCUGGGAAGAGAACUACAAACUUAUCAUCCUUCCUUUUUUUGAAGAACUUGAGGAUCUAAAAUAUAACUAACUACAAGGAAGAGUAAAAAAAAAAAUUAGCUUAGAUGAGAGAUUGAAGGAGCUUUAUGAAGAACUUGGCAUUCAGGAUAGUCCAGGUUACAUUUCUGUUGAUUAGUGUAGUGUUCAGUAUCCUUGUCAUUGAUGCAAUAGAUAAAAUUGUCUGUGUUUAUCUGGGAAUUAUACAAGUCUCUUAGUUAUAUUAGUUUGCACGUACCUAAGAGUGCAGAAUUGGAUUAUUCAACAGUUAAUGGUCAGUAUUUAUAUACAACAGGCAAAAUAGAAGCAAGUUUUACCUCUCCCAGCUCCUGUGCAGUAAUAUAUUUUAAUUCACAACAGUUAAUUUGGAUAAUAAUGUGUCAGGUGAAAUUGAAAGCUUGGGCUUCUCUUAAAAGUUAAUAAACCUUUAAACUGUCAGCAUACUGAGUAUGCCAAGUCCCAGAUCAGUAAGAAUAUGUAGUUUGUUCUUGCUGUCUCGUGCAACCAUUAUGUUUAACUCUGAACUUGUGGUCAGUGUGCUGGAUGUCUGUUCUUAACAUCCCUGGUUAUUUUUACCUUAAUGUUGAAAAAUCCAAUAACAAAGAACUGGAAAAUGAAGUAUUUCACCCAAACCAGUGGUAUUAUUGUACAUAAUUGAUUUUUCAUUUUGUUUAUUUUAUAUUGCUGUACGUAUACUUUUAUAGCAGAGAUGAAAUAAAGCCAACUCAAAUAUCAUUUGGUCUCACCUUUAUUAUUUAUAUACCUUAUCUUACUUAAUAUGCCCUUGAUGAAGUUUUGUAAUUGAGACACAGUUGUAAAUGGGAAUUACUAAGCCAAGCCAUGUCUCUCUCCAUUUACUAGGUUCUCCAAAA